rnacentral:rRNA from 1 species
CCCCUGACUCUGGGAUAACUACCGGAAACGGUGGCUAAUACCGGAUAUGAGGUGCCUGGGCAUCUGGGCGCCUGGAAAGUUUUUCGGUCAGGGAUGGGCUCGCGGCCUAUCAGCUUGUUGGUGGGGUGAUGGCCUACCAAGGCGACGACGGGUAGCCGGCCUGAGAGGGCGAUCGGCCACACUGGGACUGAGACACGGUCCAGACUCCUACGGGAGGCAGCAGUGGGGAAUAUUGCACAAUGGGCGCAAGCUGAUGCAGCGACGCCGCGUGCGGGAUGACGGCCUUCGGGUUGUAAACCGCUUUCAGCAGGGGAAGAAGCGCAAGUGACGGUACCUGCAGAAGAAGCGCCGGCUAACUACGUGCCAGCAGCCGCGGUAAUACGUAGGGCGCAAGCGUUGUCCGGAAUUAUUGGGCGUAAAGAGCUCGUAGGCGGUUUGUCGCGUCUGCUGUGAAAUCCUCAGGCUCAACCUGGGGCUUGCAGUGGGUACGGGCAGACUAGAGUGCGGUAGGGGUGACUGGAAUUCCUGGUGUAGCGGUGGAAUGCGCAGAUAUCAGGAGGAACACCGAUGGCGAAGGCAGGUCACUGGGCCGCAACUGACGCUGAGGAGCGAAAGCAUGGGGAGCGAACAGGAUUAGAUACCCUGGUAGUCCAUGCCGUAAACGUUGGGCACUAGGUGUGGGGUCCAUUCCACGGAUUCCGUGCCGCAGCAAACGCAUCUAAGUGCCCCGCCUGGGGAGUACGGCCGCAAGGCUAAAACUCAAAGAAAUUGACGGGGGCCCGCACAAGCGGCGGAGCAUGCGGAUUAAUUCGAUGCAACGCGAAGAACCUUACCAAGGCUUGACAUACACCGGAAAAGUGCAGAGAUGUGCUCCCCGUAAGGUCGGUGUACAGGUGGUGCAUGGUUGUCGUCAGCUCGUGUCGUGAGAUGUUGGGUUAAGUCCCGCAACGAGCGCAACCCUCGUCCCAUGUUGCCAGCGGGUUAUGCCGGGGACUCAUGGGAGACUGCCGGGGUCAACUCGGAGGAAGGUGGGGAUGACGUCAAAUCAUCAUGCCCCUUAUGUCUUGGGCUUCACGCAUGCUACAAUGGCCGGUACAAAGGGCUGCGAUACCGCAAGGUGGAGCGAAUCCCAAAAAGCCGGUCUCAGUUCGGAUCGGGGUCUGCAACUCGACCCCGUGAAGUUGGAGUCGCUAGUAAUCGCAGAUCAGCAACGCUGCGGUGAAUACGUUCCCGGG